GGGCACUGGAAGGUCCCUAAACCGAAAGGGGCUCUGCCCGCCCGAGGAUGGGCCGGCGGCCGAUUAGGUAGUUGGUGGGGUAACGGCCCACCAAGCCCAUAAUCGGUACGGGCAGUGAGAGCUGGAGCCCGGAGAUGGACACUGAGACACGGGUCCAGGCCCUACGGGGCGCAGCAGGCGCGAAACCUCCGCAAUGCUCGAAAGAGCGACGGGGGGACCCCAAGUGCCGUGGUACAACCACGGCUUUUCCGGAGUGUAAGAAGCUCCGGGAAUAAGGGCUGGGCAAGGCCGGUGGCAGCCGCCGCGGUAAUACCGGCGGCCCGAGUGGUGGCCACUAUUAUUGGGCCUAAAGCGUCCGUAGCCGGGCUUGUAAGUCCCUGGCGAAAUCCCACGGCUCAACCGUGGGGCUUGCUGGGGAUACUGCAAGCCUUGGGACCGGGAGAGGCCGGGGGUACUCCUGGGGUAGGGGUGAAAUCCUAUAAUCCCAGGAGGACCGCCAGUGGCGAAGGCGCCCGGCUGGAACGGGUCCGACGGUGAGGGACGAAGGCCAGGGGAGCAAACCGGAUUAGAUACCCGGGUAGUCCUGGCUGUAAAGGAUGCGGGCUAGGUGUUGCUUGGACCUCGAGUCCAAGCAGUGCC
rnacentral:rRNA from 1 species